AAAAUGGGGCAAGAGAGAGUAACGGUGUCUCUGAGUCCUUGAUGAACCGGCGAGGGAAAUCAAUCUGGCCGAGAUAUCGUUUCAGUCGUUCUUUGUUUUGGUUUACGAUCUGAUUGUUGCUCGUCCACAU
rfam:Arabidopsis thaliana chromosome 1, complete sequence.